rnacentral:rRNA from 1 species
UACGUAGGUGGCGAGCGUUAUCCGGAAUUAUUGGGCGUAAAGAGCGCGCAGGUGGUUGAUUAAGUCUGAUGUGAAAGCCCACGGCUUAACCGUGGAGGGUCAUUGGAAACUGGUCGACUUGAGUGCAGAAGAGGGAAGUGGAAUUCCAUGUGUAGCGGUGAAAUGCGUAGAGAUAUGGAGGAACACCAGUGGCGAAGGCGGCUUCCUGGUCUGUAACUGACACUGAGGCGCGAAAGUGUGGGGAGCAAACAGGAUUAGAUA